AACGAACGCUGGCGGCAUGCCUAACACAUGCAAGUCGAACGAGACCUUCGGGUCUAGUGGCGCACGGGUGCGUAACGCGUGGGAAUCUGCCCUUGGGUUCGGAAUAACAGUUGGAAACGACUGCUAAUACCGGAUGAUGACGUAAGUCCAAAGAUUUAUCGCCCAAGGAUGAGCCCGCGUAGGAUUAGCUAGUUGGUGAGGUAAAGGCUCACCAAGGCGACGAUCCUUAGCUGGUCUGAGAGGAUGAUCAGCCACACUGGGACUGAGACACGGCCCAGACUCCUACGGGAGGCAGCAGUGGGGAAUAUUGGACAAUGGGCGAAAGCCUGAUCCAGCAAUGCCGCGUGAGUGAUGAAGGCCUUAGGGUUGUAAAGCUCUUUUACCCGGGAUGACAAUGACAGUACCGGGAGAAUAAGCUCCGGCUAACUCCGUG
rnacentral:rRNA from 1 species